rnacentral:misc_RNA from 1 species
GAUGAAGAACGUAGUGAAAUGCGAUAAGUAAUGUGAAUUGCAGAAUUCAGUGAAUCAUCGAAUCUUUGAACGCACAUUGCGCCCGCCAGUAUUCUGGCGGGCAUGCCUGUUCGAGCGUCAUUUCAACCAUCAAGCCCCCGGCUUGUGUUGGGGACCUGCGGCUGCCGCAGGCCCUGAAAACCAGUGGCGGGCUCGCUGUCACACCGAGCGUAGUAGAUUUUCAUCUCGCUCAGGGCGUGCUGCGGGUUCCGGCCGUAAAAAGCCUUAUUUACCCAAGGUUGACCUCGGAUCAGGUAGGAAGACCCGCUGAACUUAAGCAUAUCAAUAAGCGG